rnacentral:misc_RNA from 1 species
UCGUAUCUCUGGACCUGGCGUUUGAAGCGACCCAGUCGCGGCCUUCUCGGCUGCGCGGGACGUCGAGCGCCGGCCCAACCUUCACAAACCCACUGUGCACCUUUGCGGCGGAGGGCCUCGGGCGAGAGCUCGGGUCCGAUGCCGAUCACAAACCCUAGUUCAAACAGAAUGAUCAGCGGCCGUUGCGCCGUCUAAAACACAAAA